rnacentral:rRNA from 1 species
UACGUAGGGGGCAAGCGUUGCUCGGAAUCACUGGGCGUAAAGGGCGCGUAGGCGGCCAUUCAAGUCGGAGGUGAAAGCCCAGGGCUCAACCCUGGAAUUGCCUUCGAUACUGUCUGGCUAGAGACCGGAAGAGGUAAGUGGAACUGCGAGUGUAGAGGUGAAAUUCGUAGAUAUUCGCAAGAACACCAGUGGCGAAGGCGGCUUACUGGUCCGGUUCUGACGCUGAGGCGCGAAAGCGUGGGGAGCAAACAGG